CUUUUAUUUAAAAGAUACACAAAGCAGGUUCCCAGAUUCUCUUCUCUGUCCAACCCUAGAGGGGGACUAAUCCUCAAUCCUGGGCGGGGUCUGGA